CACCGCCUGAACACAUGCAAGUCGAACGAUGGUCUUCGGAUCAUAGUGGCGCACGGGUGCGUAACGCGUGGGAAUCUGCCCUUGGGUCUGGGAUAACAGCGGGAAACUGCUGCUAAUACCGGAUGAUAUCGCGAGAUCAAAGAUUUAUCGCCUGAGGAUGAGCCCGCGUCGGAUUAGCUAGUUGGUGGGGUAAAGGCCUACCAAGGCGACGAUCCGUAGCUGGUCUGAGAGGAUGAUCAGCCACACUGGGACUGAGACACGGCCCAGACUCCUACGGGAGGCAGCAGUGGGGAAUAUUGGACAAUGGGCGAAAGCCUGAUCCAGCAAUGCCGCGUGAGUGAUGAAGGCCUUCGGGUUGUAAAGCUCUUUUACCAGGGAUGAUAAUGACAGUACCUGGAGAAUAAGCUCCGGCUAACUCCGUGCCAGCAGCCGCGGUAAU
rnacentral:rRNA from 1 species